AGUUUUUCUUGAUCCAGCUGGUGAUCAGCUUAUGCUAAGACACAAGGAUUGACGGUUCUUUUUAUCCAAUCUACUGUGUAUGGGCAUAAGCAACUAACACAAGAAUUUUAAUGUGCUUCCCAGCUGCUUCCAGGUCCUCUCAGAGCUCCUGAUCUCUCUCUUUCUCUCAGCUGUCUGCUUGUCUGGCCUUUAUAGCCUCAAAUGUGAUUCAGCCCUCUUGGCUGCCUGAGCCUGUGCACUUCAUCUGUUCACCUGCUGUCAGUAUUUCAUCACUAUGUGACUAUAUGUCUUGGAUGUGUGACUAAACAUGCCAUUUGUAUCACCAGUGGAGCACUUGUGUGGUGUAUUCUUGUUAUCAUCACUACCCAAUAUCAAAAAAUUGCAUGUUAAACGGAUUAAGAACUAACUGACAGAUCUCAAAAAGUAAUGGUUUAUGGGGAAUCAUCAUCGAAUGGGGGUAUUGCUAAUGGGUUCUUCAGGGACUGACUUUAGGCACAAUGCUAGUCAAUAUUUUUGGCAAUGAUCUAGAGGUAAAUAUAAAAUCAGGGCUGAUAAAGUUUGGGAGAGUUGUGAAUAAUGAUGAUGACAGGACAGUUAUAUAGAACAAUCUGGCUCUCUUGGUAAGCUGGGCUCAUUCAGAAAAAAGUCAUGGAACAAAGAAUGCAGGCCAUGACUGCAGAGUAGGGGACUAUCUCCUGGAAAACACUUACUCUGGAAAGGAUUUAGGGGACAUAUUGGACAAAAAAUGGAACCAGGAGCUCUUACUGCGAUGUUCUGGCAAAAAGGGGCUAAUGCAAUGCUAGGAUGUAUAAAGAGGGGAAUAGUGAGUAGGAGGAAAGAGGUGAUUUUACCUCUGCAUAGGGCAGAGACUGAUACUAGAAUGCUGCAUAGAGUUCUGGUGUCCACAUUUUAAAAAGGAUGUUGAAAAACUGGAGGGUGUGCAGUGAAAAUGACUCUGAGGCUGGAGAGAAUGUCUGACAGCAAGAGACUUAAGGGGCUCAAUCUAUUUAAUUUAUCAAAAGGAUCAAGAUAUGAUUUGAUUACAGUGCAUAAACACAGGCAGGGGCGGCUCUAGCCAUUUUGCCACCCCAAGCACGGCAGCACGCUGCGGGGGGCGCUCUGGCCAGUCACCGGUCCUGCAGCUCCAGUGGACCUCCCGCAGACGUGCCUGCGGAUGCUCCACCAAAGCCGCGGGACCCUCCACAGGCAUGUCUGCUGGAGGUUCACUGGAGCCACCUCUGAAGGUUGCUCCAGUCCUUAUUCAGGCAAAAAAACUUCCCUUUACUUCAGUGGGAGCCUUGUCAGGGUAAGAUCUGAAGGAUAAAACUCCAUUGUCUGUUUUCCUCCACAUUGUGGCAGUCAAGUUUUUUUUUUUUUACCCCUU